GACAGAGGUGCCGAGCGUUAGGCGGAAUCACUGGGCUUAAAGCGUGUGUAGGCGGGCGAUCAAGUACCUUGUGAAAUCCCACGGCUCAACCGUGGAACCGCUGGGUAUACUGGUUGUCUUGAGCCGGCUAGGGGCGAGCGGAACAGACGGUGGAGCGGUGAAAUGCGUAGAUAUCGUCUGGAACGCCGAAGGUGAAAACAGCUCGCUGGGGCCGCGCUGACGCUGAGACACGAAAGCCAGGGGAGCAAACAGG
rnacentral:rRNA from 1 species